GUGCUUACCAUGCAGUCGAACGGUGAACUCCGCUUGCGGGGGGAUCAGUGGCGAACGGGUGAGUAACACGUGGGCAACCUGCCCUCAGCUCUGGGAUAACUCCAAGAAAUUGGGGCUAAUACUGGAUAUGACUGCUAGCCGCAUGGUCUGGUGGUGGAAAGAUUUAUCGGCUGAGGAUGGGCCCGCGGCCUAUCAGCUUGUUGGUGGGGUAGUGGCCUACCAAGGCGACGACGGGUAGCCGGCCUGAGAGGGUGACCGGCCACACUGGGACUGAGACACGGCCCAGACUCCUACGGGAGGCAGCAGUGGGGAAUAUUGCGCAAUGGGCGAAAGCCUGACGCAGCGACGCCGCGUGGGGGAUGACGGCCUUCGGGUUGUAAACCUCUUUCAGCAGGGACGAAGCGAAAGUGACGGUACCUGCAGAAGAAGCACCGGCCAACUACGUGCCAGCAGCCGCGGUAAUACGUAGGGUGCAAGCGUUGUCCGGAAUUAUUGGGCGUAAAGAGCUCGUAGGCGGUUUGUUGCGUCGGCUGUGAAAACCUGAGGCUCAACCUCAGGCCUGCAGUCGAUACGAGCAGACUAGAGUGUUGCAGGGGAGACUGGAAUUCCUGGUGUAGCGGUGAAAUGCGCAGAUAUCAGGAGGAACACCGGUGGCGAAGGCGGGUCUCUGGGCAACAACUGACGCUGAGGAGCGAAAGCGUGGGGAGCGAACAGGAUUAGAUACCCUGGUAGUCCACGCCGUAAACGUUGGGCGCUAGGUGUGGGGCUCAUUCCACGAGUUCCGUGCCGCAGCUAACGCAUUAAGCGCCCCGCCUGGGGAGUACGGCCGCAAGGCUAAAACUCAAAGGAAUUGACGGGGGCCCGCACAAGCGGCGGAGCAUGUUGCUUAAUUCGAUGCAACGCGAAGAACCUUACCUGGGCUUGACAUGCACGGAAAUCCUCCAGAGAUGGUGGGUCCGCAAGGGUCGUGCACAGGUGGUGCAUGGUUGUCGUCAGCUCGUGUCGUGAGAUGUUGGGUUAAGUCCCGCAACGAGCGCAACCCUCGUUCUAUGUUGCCAGCACGUGAUGGUGGGGGCUCAUAGGAGACUGCCGGGGUCAACUCGGAGGAAGGUGGGGAUGACGUCAAAUCAUCAUGCCCCUUAUGUCUAGGGCUGCAAACAUGCUACAAUGGCCGGUACAAAGGGCUGCGAUACCGCGAGGUGGAGCGAAUCCCAAAAAGCCGGUCUCAGUUCGGAUUGGGGUCUGCAACUCGACCCCAUGAAGUUGGAGUCGCUAGUAAUCGCAGAUCAGCAACGCUG
rnacentral:rRNA from 1 species